rnacentral:rRNA from 1 species
AUGAUUGCAAAAUUGCCUCCUUCAUGGAGGAAUUUCGCCACAACUCUGAAGCAUAAGAGACAGGAGAUAUCAAUUGAAAAUCUGAUUGCAUCUCUUGAUGUUGAAGAAAAAGCUCGGGCUAAAGAUACCACUGAAAAAGGAGGUGAGGUUCAGCCUACUGCUAACAUGGUGCAGAGGUACCCACAGAACAAGAACAAAGGGAAGAACAAACAUGUUUUCAACAAGCCUACCAAGACUACUACCUUCAAGAAGAAGAAGUUCAACAAGGCUGAGCUAGAGUGCUACGCCUGUGGGAAGCCUGGACACUUUUCCAAGGAAUGCCCUGAACGUGCAGACCGCAGAGGGAAAACAAGCUCCAAGACUGUCAACAUGGUGACCGCUAGCAAUACUGAUGGGUCGCAAGGGAUUCUUCCGUCCUAA